AACGCUGGCGGCGUGCCUAACACAUGCAAGUCGGAUGUGCCGCAAGGUGCAUGGCAGACGGGUGAGUAACGCGUGGGGAAUCUACCUCUUUGUGGGGAAUAACGCUCCGAAAGGAGUGGUAAUACCGCAUGAGACCGUGAGCUGGGACGCUCAUGGUGAAACCUGGGGACCGCAAGGCCUGGGGCAAGGAGAGGAUCCUGCGUCUGAUUAGCUAGUUGGCGGGGUAAUGGCCCACCAAGGCGACGAUCAGUAGCCGGCCUGAGAGGGUGAUCGGCCACACUGGAACUGAGACACGGUCCAGACUCCUACGGGAGGCAGCAGUGGGGAAUUUUGCGCAAUGGGCGAAAGCCUGACGCAGCAACGCCGCGUGGGUGAUGAAGGUCUUCGGACUGUAAAACCCUGUCGUCAGGGACGAAGGUGGCAGUGUUAAUAACGCUGUUACUUGACGGUACCUGGAGAGGAAGCCCCGGCUAACUCUGUGCCAGCAGCCGCGGUAAUACAGAGGGGGCAAGCGUUAUUCGGAAUUAUUGGGCGUAAAGGGCGCGUAGGCGGUUUUUUAAGUCAGAUGUGUAAUCCCCGAGCUUAACUUGGGAACUGCAUCUGAGACUGGAAGGCUAGAGUACUGGAGAGGGUGGUGGAAUUCCUCGUGUAGCGGUGAAAUGCGUAGAGAUGAGGAGGAACACCAGUGGCGAAGGCGGCCACCUGGACAGUAACUGACGCUGAGGCGCGAAAGUGUGGGUAGCAAACAGGAUUAGAUACCCUGGUAGUCCACGCUGUAAACGAUGAACACUUGGUGUGGAGGGAGUUGACCCCUUCCGUGCCGGAGCUAACGCGUUAAGUGUUCCGCCUGGGGAGUACGGUCGCCAGGCUGAA
rnacentral:rRNA from 1 species